UACAGAGGGUGCAAGCGUUAAUCGGAAUUACUGGGCGUAAAGCGUGCGUAGACGGUUAUGUAAGUCGGGUGUGAAAGCCCCGGGCUCAACCUGGGAAUGCCAUUCGAGACUGCAUAGCUAGGGUGCGGAAGAGGGAAGCGGAAUUUCCGGUGUAGCGGUGAAAUGCGUAGAUAUCGGGAGGAACACCUGUGGCGAAAGCGGCGCACUGGACCACAACUGACGCUGAGGCGCGAAAGCUAGGGGAGCAAACAGG
rnacentral:rRNA from 1 species